rnacentral:tRNA from 1 species
UUUUAGGAAGCUUGCAACAGCUAAGAAUUUUUACUUCUUCAAUAGGACAUAUUAUCCCCUAAAAA